rnacentral:rRNA from 1 species
CCUACGGGUGGCAGCAGUGAGGAAUAUUGGUCAAUGGACGGAAGUCUGAACCAGCCAUGCCGCGUGCAGGAAGACGGCUCUAUGAGUUUUAAACAGCUUUUGUACAAGGGUAAACCUGAAUACGUGUAUUCAGCUGAAAGUACUGUACGAAUAAGGAUCGGCUAACUCCGUGCCAGCAGCCGCGGUAAUACGGAGGAUCCAAGCGUUAUCCGGAUUUAUUGGGUUUAAAGGGUGCGUAGGCGGAUUGAUAAGUUAGAGGUGAAAUGUCCGAGCUUAACUCGGGAACUGCCUCUAAUACUGUUGAUCUGGAGAGUAGAUGCGGUAGGCGGAAUGUAUGGUGUAGCGGUGAAAUGCUUAGAGAUCAUACAGAACACCGAUUGCGAAGGCAGCUUACCAAUCUAUAUCUGACGUUGAGGCACGAAAGCGUGGGGAGCAAACAGGAUUAGAUACCCGAGUAGUC